CCCUUAGAUGUUCUGGGCCGCACGCGCGCUACACUGAUGAAAUCAGCGAGUUUAUAACCUUGGCCGGAAGGUCCGGGUAAACUUUUGAAAUUUCAUCGUGCUGGGGAUAGAGCAUUGUAAUUAUUGCUCUUCAACGAGGAAUUCCUAGUAAGCGCAAGUCAUCAGCUUGCGUUGAUUACGUCCCUGCCCUUUGUACACACCGCCCGUCGCUACUACCGAUUGAAUGGUUAUAGUGAGCAUAUGGGAUCAGUAGAAUUAGACUGGCAACAGUCUUUCUCUGCAGAGAACUAUGGCAAACUAGGCUAUUUAGAGGAAGUAAAANUCGUAACA
rnacentral:rRNA from 1 species